CAGGAAGAGAAGGAAUAUUUUCACCCAGCUCAGCGGCAAGCCUAUCAGCAAUUUCUGUGAGCCCAUGGGUGGUAGCAGUAAUAUAAGCAAGAGGUAGCUGUCCAGCAUUCUCUAGGAUCUCAACUCUCUUCAACGCAUCACCAAGAUACAGAGCAUUGUGGAAUUGACCCAUCAGGUUAUUGUUCUGUCCAGCAAUUUUGCACAUGAAACCCACCUUGUCCAUGUAACCAGUAAUAAGAUAUAGGAAAGCAAGCCUCUCAAAAUUCUUCGUACGUUGGUAUGCAUAUUCCACAAUACCAACAUUUCCCUGCCUCAGGGCCUCAAUUCCCAACCUGUACCAGUGAUCCUUGUCAUCAAUCUCUUUUGCAGAAGCAACUGCGAUUUGGAUGUUACCACUCUCAAGAGCAAGGUUAAAUCUUGUCUUCUCAUCUUUCACAAAGUGGAGGGCAACUUCUGGAAAGCCUUUCUGUUGUAAAUAAGAAAUCACAGCUUGCCCACACAGCUGGGAAUUCUUGAUCAUACUCAUCACAUGAUCAUACCGUUUGCGUAGAAGGGCCAGCUUGAAAAUGUACUCAGAUGCAUCAACUGUGACCAGCUUGUUCUUACCAUCACGAUCUAGACAGAAUAUAUUGUUCCCAAUAACCCUUGUUAUGUAUAUAGGAACAUCGAGGGUUUUAAUAAUCCCACUAUCUCCAUUGGGAAGGCAAUACUUGAUAUGAUUCAGGGUAGUGUAAAUAAACACACCAUUCUCAUCCCAGGCACCACUUUUCACACGAAUGGUUUCGUGCAGUGUACAGCGAUGGACGAGCUUCUUGUUUGCUAUAACCACUGCAUGCUUGCUCAGCAGUGCGACAGAUUCCAUAUCACUAGACCAAACAACAUAUUUAACAGAAGGUGCCUGGAGCUCACCAAGAAUUAACCUUUGCUGCAGAUCAAAGAUGGUCACUCGGUCUUCGGCUUUGCACAGCAAGUUACCAGUCCCAGCAUAAUAAAUUGCAUCCGUGGCAAUAGGAAGAGGGCUUUUCUUUACGAUUUCAUUCUUAAGAUUCUUCACCAAAACUUGAUUGCUACUCUUCUCAAGGACUGCAAACCUGUUGCGUGCCACGAAAACAGCUGACCCACCAGCUCCCUUCUUUGCAUCCUGCAAAUAGUCAGCCCUGCCAGCAGAAUCCUUGGGAACAAUGUAGAGUUCGUAUGAGCCUCCAUCCACAUCAGAGCAAAUCAGGACAGCAUUUUCAGUUGGACUGUAAGAUAGUGUCUUGGGUGACUGGUUCAAGCUCACUGAUCCAGGUCUUCUUAUUGGAGCAAGCUGAACUUCCUUCUGUGUGGUGAAUUCAAAAAAACGAAGAAAACGGUCCUUCACAUAGAAAACAGUAUCUCCACUCACAGAGAAAGCUGGACGUUCCCUCUCCAAUUUAAACACAAUCAUACCACUGUCAUGACCAGCGGCAAGAAGAUUCAUCUCAGGGUGAGCAGAAAGAAUCCAGAAACGAUCAUGUUCCCGCCUGAACGUUUGAAUACCGGUUCGCUUUGUGGCAUCCCAGAUGCGAAUGCUUUUGUCCUCUGAGUUGGACACAAUGAUGUCUUGCUUAGCAUGGAACAUCACGCAUGACACAUUAUUCAUGUGUCCCCGCAAAGUAUCAACUUCCCAAGCCUUCGUGUCUGUCCAAAAAAAUAGCACAUUUAGAUUACAUUAAUUCAAAUACCUCAAUAGCGGUUUGCUGCAUAUGCAUAUAGUUUUGUGUUUGGCCAGUCUAGCAAUAUGCAGAAGAAUGAAGUGCUAUGCAACAAGAAUGACCACCUUUCAUUCCAACCAAAGUGACAAACUAGAGGUCAGGAGCUAGUUACUAAUUGAGUAAUUGUGAAGCAUGUUUCUUGCAUUCAGCUUGUUCGGUAAUUACUACUUCUGUGAAAGUAUGAUAAAUUGAAGAAAACAAAAGGAAUUCAUAAUAAAAUCAAAUCCAUAGUUUGUAGUAAUAAUAUAUGGAAGGACAAAUGAAUAAAAACACAAAUAUGCAAGCGUUUAUCCAUGGAAAAUGGUAAUAGAAAAGUUUAAGGCCUUGUAGCAGUAUUACCAUUCAUUCUCCAUAGCUUCACUUGUCGGUCAUCUGCCCCGGAAACAAUGAGUGGCAAUGUGGGGUGAAAUGAUGCCCAGUUCACCCCACGGUCAUGCCCUUCCAACACAUAUUUUACAACUGCAUCAACACCUCCAAACAGAUCUGUGUUCAUCUGGGUGAGACGCAGGAUGUCAUCUGCAGGUGACACCGUCUUCUUCCUCAAAGCACCAAUAUCCCAAACACGGACAGUCUGAUCCAGUGAUGCUGACACAACCAGGUCCUCCUUGGGAUGGAAUGAUGCGCACAUGACAUAGUGGUUAUGUCCAGUCAGCACAGCUACACAUGUGCGUGACUGCCAGUUCCAGAUCCGGAUUGUCUGGUCAUCACUAGCACUUACUAUCCAUGGGUAUUCGUGGUGGAAUUGCACGGUGCGAAUAUAGUCAAGGUGCCCGUGAAGUGUGAAGAGGCAGCGGUGUGUCUUGUAAUUCCACACCUUAAUCUUGUAAUCAUCACCUGCAAUGCAUCACAGAAAUCUUAGAAUAGUUCAGAAGUUCAACCAUUCCGCAUCCCAAUCAUAUUAGUCCACCGAGCAAUACGACCGGACACCAGUAUGACUUCGUUUCAAGUUUCAACAGAUCCCAAAGUCCAGGUUUCAACAAAUUCCAAAGGUCCAUGAUGGCACCUUGCCAUCGCUAACUUGCUACUUGUAUCAGAUUCACACUACAAAAGCUGAUUCUCUCUGGUUGAGGGCUACACAUCGACUCAUUCUACUUCCUAUCAUAUCUCUUCUACGGAAGGAUUGCAAAAUCGAUGGAGAUCCCGGUCAUAAAUAGAAACAAAAUGUCACAUGAAGGUUUCAAACUAACAAUUCACCAAACAGUUCAUCUUAAGCUAAGAGAAUAGAACCAGCACCAGAUCCAACCAACGAGGAUCACUUGCACAACCACCACUGUACACGAAACGCGAUCUAAUCGCAAACCACGUACGCGUGGUAUCUACCUCGAGUGUCCUCAUUGCACCAUGAAAUGGAUCACGCGGAAAUCUAACGGCCACGCGAGACGUCCUCCAAAUCCGAGGAGGAGGAUCCGACCAAACACGCGUCGACGCCACACCCGACCCCGCGAGCGGCGAACCACCACAGCGAAAAAAAAAAUGCUCGAGGCGGGCGAGAUCUAGGCAGGGAGGAAUCGAUGUUUACCUCCGGAGACGAAGAGCGGCUGCGUGGCGUGGAAGUGGACGCCGCGGACGGGGCCGUCGUGCUCGUCGAAGCGGUCGAGGAGGGUGCCCAUGCGGUAGUCCCACAUCUGGAUCACCCCGCUGUGGAGGCUGGCCAGGAUCCAUGGCCGCCGCGGGUGGAAGCUCAGCCCCUUCACCCGGUUGCUCUUCGUCUCGAACUUGGUCAGCAUCUUCUCUAGCCGUCCCCCCGGCGCGACGGCGGCGGCGGCGGCGAAACCCCUCGCCGCUGAGGCGCGCGGAGGAGAGAGAGGGGGGAGGGGGGGUGGUAUGGCGUUGGGUGGAGAGGACGAAGGUGUUUUUGAGAUCUCGGGGUGGGAGGAGGAAGAAGUGGGGGGAGAGAUCUGGGUUUCGGACGCGGUGGUGAGGUGGUGGGAGGCUUGGCCACCGUUGGAUUCUGGAGACGGGGAGAUCUGGGCCGUUGGUUCCGGUGUGGCCGUGUUGUCAGAUUGGGGUAGACUUGUUUAGGGGUGAGUCAGCUUGGUCCGUAAGGUACCUGAUGAAUACUGUAGCUUCAGUACGAAGGCAGCGUUUUUGACUUGUCAGUAGCAGUAGAGAAAAAAAAAAGUUUAGGGCCAUUUGAAUCGCAUGGUUGAAAGAAAUGUAGGAAUAUAAAAAAGACAGGAUUCUGAUAAGAAUUGAAGUGUAAAACAGAGGAUUGCAAUAUACAUGAAUGGUCGUUUGAUUAGAGCGCAGAAAAAAAACGCAUGAAUCGAAUGAGAGAGAUAGACUCAAAGGACAUUUUCUAAGAGGUUGGAGCUCUUGCUAAAAUUUUCCUCUAAAAUCCACAUGCAAUGUGUCAUUCCAUAGGAAUUUCAUAGGUUUUGGAAAGCUUCAAUCAUUUGAAUCAAAGUACCAAAUAGAAAAAUUUCCUAUAGGAUUUGAAUCCUAUGAAAUUUCUACAUAAAUCCUUUGUUUCAAGAGGCCUUACCUUUUGUAGUUAUGUCAUUUAUAUUUAAAAAACAGGAUAUAUCAUAUAAAAAAUUAUAACCAUGCUAGUAGAAAAAAGGAAUUUAUAAGGCUGGUUAUAACCAUGGUUUAUACUUAUGCUAGUAGAACAAAGAGUUUCCAUGUCUUAAAAUGUCACAACAGAUGCAAGCAAACAAGCACAACCAUAAUACUUGCCGAUUUUGGCAGGUACAGUAGUAUAGGAAUGAGCGUUGGUUACUGCAAUUGUUUCUCCGAUGAAUCAAUAAGUGCAUUAUCGAUUGGAAUAAGAUAACUUAAUGGACGAUCCUUCCCGAGUCUUCAUCAACAACCAAGAGAAAACGAUAGACAUCAGAAAAGGUUAAAGGUGGUAAACAACAUAAUUCCAUAAAUGGAAGGGGACAAAAGACCUAGACAGUAUAUCACUAUAUUAGAUCUAAUCUUGUAAAUACUUUAUUUGAAAAACAAAUCUAAAAUAUUCCUAAAAUAAAAUAGAAGGGCCUCCUCACCAUCGACAAGGGUGCUAAAGACAGUAGGGAAGGGAAGGGGGACUAGAUGGGUUGUGAGGACGAAAGCCUUCAUGAAUUAAAUUGGUGAUUCAUGGUACGCUCUCGCUAUGACAUAUUCCAGUUUACCAUCCAAAUCUAUAUAAUACUUUAUCUAUAGAUAUAUCCACCUAGUUUAUUUGCUAUAAAAAAUCUAGCACAUGAAGUUUAAAGUGCAUCUAGGCUCUAAUUCAAUUUCAGUAAUCAAUGACUAGCGAUUAGAGAUGACUAACACCUUUGCAUAUAACUCUUUGGGCCUACAUGUCAUGUCAGUGGCUAGAUAUUAUGGAACUUGGUCCCUAAGCUUUCUAAAAAUCUUGAAUAGGUCCUUAUCUUCAACCACAAAUAAGAGGAGUGUAAUAAGUGGCGCGCUCAGCCAAGAGCCAAGGCAUGCCCAGGGGACCUCCGUGGUCCCUUCGGGUGCAGUAGGCACAUCAUAGAGUGGCUAGAGGACGACGGGCGACGAGCUCCUGAAAAGCCGUGGCCAUGAUGCUUAUGGUGGUGGGUAGGCAGUGCUCGGGUGGUAGAACGGCAAUAGCUCUAGCAACUACAUGCAUAGGGAAUAGGGAAACCGUAAGCAGGCUAGGGAUUUUCUCACUUAGAAGGGCUUUUCCCGCACUUAGUGAUGGCGGGAGGUAGCAGUGGUGCUUCGGCAAGAUAUGAACAAUGUUGGUAGGCGCGGCUAUUCGGGAAGGGGAAAACGAGAUCAGUGCAACAUGGGGAAAAAGGUGAUGCACAUGGUUGAAAGGUGAUCUCACCGAGGACGUUGCGAUAGGCUCUUGUGCUUACCAGCACCAAUGAUGGCUCCUUUAUUCCUGACAAGAGAGAGAGCCAUGAGCUCCCUCAAGUUGGAAUAGAAUGGGGCGAGUUGAGGAAAAGGAGUGCAACAGGAAGGUUUAUGCGAGGGUUGCAAGCUCAUUUCAUGGCAUUACUCUAAUAUGGCGACCUCAAGCCGUGUGGUGAUGGAACGGGAUUGUCGGGGGUACCGUGGUAUCAGGGAGGAGCCAGGAGGAUUGAUAGCUUGAAAUCUUUGGUCAGCAUUGAAAGAUUUGGUCGGUUUGACUUAGUCGGCACAAGAGGGACCGUAUACGUUCAACGAUUAGCGAGAAAGAAAUAGAGUAAAUUCCCUGUGUACCCCUGAAAACUCACUCAAUCCCUUUCAUACUCCUAAAAUUUACCCGAUCCCUUCUGUACCCCUGAAAUUUCAAUUUGAUCCCUUCCAUGCCCCUACCGUUACAUUUUCCAUCAUUUUACUGUUACGUUUGGUUGCAAAUGUCUUUUUUGCCCUUGAUGCUUUAGGUUUAAAUAUAAGCUUCAAAAAUAAUUGAAAAUUUUGUUUGAGUGCACAUCGUGUGCAUUUUAUAAAACUAAUGAGACUAAAUAAUUAGUGCAGAAAAUUUUGACAUAAAUUUUGAAAAUAAAAUAAAUGUAAAAAAAAUAAAAUUUUUAUUUGAAAUUUUAAUAGGACAAUGGAUUUUUUUAUCAGGAGCAUUCAUAAAAAAAAAUGUUGUGAACAUUGGUAUACCUAUCUUUAUAUGAAUGCUCCUCAUUUUUAUGACCUUUUUUUAAAAAAAUUAAUACGUAUUUUUUUAUUUCAUUAUCUAAAAAUAUUUUUUUGGGAUAAAUAAUGCAUCGCACAACAAACUCAUAACUAUAAUAGUCUCAUGCGAGAAGCUUUUAUAUUUUUAAUAAUGUAAUUCAUGAAUUUCUUUGUUCAUCCAAGGGUAAAAUGGUCAUUUUUAUAGAAAAUACACGGUCAACUAACGGUCAACUGACGGGAGGGGUAUGCAAGGGAUCAAAAUCAAAUUUUGGGGGUAUAUAAGGAAGUAAGCAAAAUUCAGGGGUAUAGAAGGGAUUAGGAAAAAUUUCAGGGGUAUAUAAGGGAUUUUCUCAAAGAAAUAUGGUGAGAGAUGAGUGUUCAAAGGCGAGUAAAAAAAAUUCUACAACCACAUUGCAUAAUAAAAAAAAUCAAAUAAUAAUUUCAUAUAACUAGACUAGAACAAAGCUUAAGAGGUGAAAGGAGUUUUAUGCUAUGAUUUAGUAGUCGUUGAGACCUAUGUUACUCAAAAUUUUAGACUCAAUCUACGGGGUUUUUUUUUUGCCCACGGGUUGGUGGGUACGGGCGUGUAAAGAACGGACCAUACCCAUGUACCUAACGGCUAAGAGUUUUCGCCCGUCAAUAGACUCAUGGGUAUAAGAGUUAGAACAUGAUUAGCUCCUAAUAGAGUAAAAAUCCGUCGGGUGUCGGGUCACGGGUCCCCAUUGACAUCUUUACUUCCAAGUCAUCAUGCAUGGAAAAAAAAAACCAAAAAUAAUUUAGCGCAUAUGAAUUUAUGUACAUCAUUUUGAAGUUUUCACUACUUCAUUUUCUUCUUGGAUGUUGCGUCGAUGAUGAACAAAUUGAAUGAAGUUAAAUUUCUAUUUCAAUGGUAGAAUUUAAUAAGUUUCUAAUCCAUGUUAAGCUAAUCUUAUUGAAGUAUAAUAUUUUCUAUAAGGUCAUCGGGCUAUGUGAUGUAUUUUGCCAAAAGUCUUCACAGUUUAUUUAUGGGUGAUUUAACUACAAUAAGUGGGAAAAGAUUAUUUGUUUAGAUCUUGGUUUAAAAUUCUAAUUUGACUGAGUUGCUGGGGCAUCACAAUAAUGGUAAAGAUUAUAAAAUGUUUUUGUGAAGUCUGUUUGUUUUACUUCGGAUCGAGUUGUCUUAGCCCCAGGCCCCAGCAUGCUUUGUACCUUUCCUCCAUGUAUGAAAAAUAGUCAUGAGUGUUAACAUUUUUAUGUAUUGUUCGUAUAUUAUAAUAACAUCUAAAAUUUACUAAAAUGUACUUAGUAUUUAUUUGUGAUUAGGAAAAUCAAUUUUGCUUUGAUAAAAGUAUUUUUCCUUGCAUUUCAUUUGCAUAAAAUGUUGUUACGUGGGUGCAUGGUUUGGGAUUAAAGACGUUUGAUUUAUUAUAUUUGCGUAUGCUAUGUUUUGAUUUUCAUUUAUAUGUAAAAUAAACUAUUAAAAUGAGUUUUAACAUUUUAAGGCAGCUAAAUGCGUCCCCUCCCCGGUCCAGUCCCCGGCAUUCUCAGCGGUGACGAGGGAAAGGGUACCCAUCUUAGGAUUUAUUCCAAUUACAUCCUCCUAUUAUCAAUCUAGGAUAUUUCUCCCAUGGUGUUUCUUGAAUCAGGUUUGGUUAAAUUCUUUUGCUCUUUUUACAUCUCUUGUUGGAGGUUAUUUCGUUUGCAAGAUUCCCAGUUCGCCAAUGAAGCAAUCAAUGGCACCACCUUUAAGGUUAGGGUCACCGAUUUGCUGAUUUAUCAAAGGAGUGAAGAUAGUGGCCUGUGUUCCUUGAUUUCUUUGUGUGCAUGUUGGAGUUGGUUAGAGUUGUCUCACUAUCCAUUGUUAAUAAGAGAUUAAGCAGCAAACAAGAGACUAAAAUGUGGUAAAUUUCCAGUAGCAUGGAAGGAAUUUAUCCGUUCACUAAUGAAUGAUUACCGCGUCUAAGAGCAUAGGGGUUUGACGCCGAACAAAGCUAGGCCUAUAUUUUUCAGUUAGGACAAUCUAUAUAUAUUUUUAACUUUUCUGGCAUGAACUUAAUGUGUCUAAUUGUACUUUGCCCCCAAAAGGCCUAUGCCCAAUACCUUGGAUGUAAAGUGUUUUUUUUAGUCAUUUACUCCCUCCAUCUCAGAAUAUAGAGAGUUUUAACCCUUGACAUGGCUAUUAAGGAGAAGGGUAGAAAGACUUAUUUGCCAUCUUAGGAUAGAUGAUGUGCAUGUACUGACUAUAAUUAAAACAAGGAAUAGUUAGGUAAUAUGGGUAGCUUAGUAGAAAAAAUACAACCUAUUACUAAUACUAUUUUGCUAUAUUUGAGACAAAUCUUGAAUUCUAUAAGUUGUUAUAUGCUACAUUUGAGAUAACUUUUGAAUUUUAUAUUUGAGAUAACUUUUGAAUUCUAUAUGAGGUUAUAUUUUAGUACGAAGGGAGUAUGGGAAAAUAUGUAAUGUAGUAGAAACCUAAAAACUACAGUUGGAUUCAAAAAAUAGCACCCGAGUGUAAAUUUUUUACUCUUAAUGACGUGAAAAAAUCUCAUACAUUUAUUUUUUUUAUUUUUAGAUCAAUGAUAAUUAUAAGUUUCUAUUACAUAUGUGCAUUUUUAGGUGCAACGGUAGUUUGCUGGGGGAGAAUUGCUGUUUUUUUUUUCCAGUACCCAAGUUUACACUGCGCCAACAAUACAAGGGAAAUCUUUUCCCAGCAUUUGGGUAAAGUUCUCUCUCCUACUUGGGAGCACCGGAUUUUUUUUUCUCACCUAUAUAACUUUUUCUCAGAAGUUAACACAUGACAUGCUAUGGAAUUGCAUAGUUUACUGCCCAAAACACUGUCCAGGCUACGACAUUGUUCUGUUGUGCCGCAGCAGAAGCAACGAAAAAUAGAACUGAAGCAGUACGUUCUAAGGACUAAGGACUUGUUUAGAUGGGACUAAAACUUUUAAAUCCAUAUUAUAUCGGAUGUUUGGACACUAAUUAUAAAUAUUAAACGUAGACUAUUAAUAAAACCCAUCCAUAAUCUUGGACUAAUUCGCGAGACGAAUCUAUUGAGCCUAAUUAAUCCAUGAUUAACCUAUGUGAUGCUACAGUAAACAUUCUCUAAUUAUAGAUUAAUUAGGCUUAAAAAUUUUGUCUCGCAAAUUAGCUUUCAUUUAUAUAAUUAGUUUUGUAAGUAGUCUAUAUUUAAUACUCUAAAUUAGUGUCUAAAUACAUGGACUAAAGUUAAGUCCCUAUAUUCAAACACCACCUAACAAACUAUAAUCCUGCAGGUCCUAGUUUAGGCCAAAGUUGGCAAUGAACAACCAAUUUGGAACUGAACAGCCCGCUUGAAGAUUUACAACACACAGAUCAUUUGCUACUCCUAAAAGGAGCAUAAACAAGUAUCACAAUUCUUUGUUAACCAAACAAUCUUAAGGUGAUCAACAUUGUGAACAUACAGUGUAACAAAAGCAAGCGUGGACGGUGACAAUCACAAGCAACAGAAUGAACAAAAUAAUGCGAGAAAGUAGCUCAAUAGGAUGACAAUGAAAGUAACACCACGACAAAAAAUUUCCAAGAGUGAAAGUAAUAUUGGUACAUCAAUUGUCCAGGGGUAGGCGCAUAGGCCACCAUGAGAUGAUCAAAAGUCCAUAUAUGACAAGUGUAACAGCUGCCUCAAGGCAAACAAAAAUCGAGGGAAAUGAGGGGGAGAAGAUACAAAAACACGACCAUGUAUACACUCCUCAAUCAGUAAACAUGCAGCUAAAAUGUGAGAUAGAGAAUCCCUAGAAUUUUAAGAGACUAAAAGAAAAUGGGGGAGCUCUACCUUAGCACCACUUAUCUCAACUGUGUGGGCGAGCAGACGAGGCCUGAAGCAUCUGCACCAACCACGGCAAGCUCACAUAUGGUACAAAGCUGCCCUUCGAUCGAAGGAACAAACCGGGAUCCACAGUACGGGCAGGAAACAUCCUUCUGGCCACGGUAGAUUGGAACAUAUGUGGCGCCACAGACAACAAAUGGAUUUCUGUAGUCAUAGUUCAGCUCAGAGCUAUCCUUCUUGCCACUGCACUGCUGCUGCACCUGUCGAGCCCUCCUUGCCUGGGCCUCAUUAGGGUUGUUCUCCAGAAGCAUCCUUGCAAAGUGCUCUGCAGUAGCGAAGUUCUUUUGCUUGUAGCACAGACCCAUAGCGCUUCCAAGCACAAGCCUCAUAUGAACUCUCUGAAGCUUGCAGUUAGUGAAAUAAGCAGCCAAUUCUUGUUGGCGGUUGACAUCAUCUCUCAACUCCUUCCUCUUAAGUUCCAUCCUCAGGCCAAGAACAUACUCCCUCACAAUCUCGAUCAACUCUUUCACUUCAUCCACUUCCCUCCUCGAGUCUACCACGAUAAGAGGGAUGGUAUGCAAGAUGCUAAGGAACUGCCUCAGGGCUUCUGGGAACUUACCAUCUGUGGUGGCCUUAUAGGCAGCCUUGAGUCUGUCUUCCAUUUGUGGGAAGGUGAAAACAAGUGCAGGAGGGCCUCUCACAUUAGGACUUGCAGACUCGCUCCAACCUUUCUCAACAGCAACUGGUAUGAUGGGGGCAGUUGCAAGUGCAUGAAGAUAUGAGUGGCUGCCCAUGUGCAGAUCAAGAAACAGGGGCUUGAGGGGAGCAAAGUUUUUUAUGCCCAACUGGCGACUAAGCAACCUCAUUGCAGUGUCAAAGUUCCCUGCUGCUGCAUGCUCCCCAGCAAGAGAAGAUUUCUGAGUCCAAAUCAGGCUGACAGGCAUGCCUGGUGGAGGAGCAACGAAGACCGCUGAGCGUGCAUUGCCAGCAUUUUUUGGGGUCUCUGCUUCAGGCAGAAGUUCCAGAUCUUCUAGGUCCCAACCACCUUCCUCGCCAUCCUCCUCAUUUGCUUCACCCUCCUCAGCAUCAAAACCGUCACCACCAUUCGCCAUCGCUUCGCUUGCAUCAACAAUAUCCAGGCCCUCAUCACCCCAGUCAGCACCAGCAGCUUCAUCGUCUUCCUCAAGUUCAGCCUUCCCAGUAGCAUCCAGUCCACCCUCAAAGAUACCACGCAUCACCCGAAGCAAUGGCCAAUCACCACUGGCUGUGAGAGGAGCAGGGGGGAUCAAAAGAGAGCGAGCUUUUCCUUCAGGAAGAGAAGGAAUAUUUUCACCCAGCUCAGCGGCAAGCCUAUCAGCAAUUUCUGUGAGCCCAUGGGUGGUAGCAGUAAUAUAGGCAAGAGGUAGCUGUCCAGCAUUCUCUAGGAUCUCAACUCUCUUCAUAGCAUCACCAAGAUACAGAGCAUUGUGGAAUUGACCCAUCAGGUUAUUGUUCUGUCCAGCAAUUUUGCACAUGAACCCCACCUUGUCCAUGUAACCAGUAAUAAGAUAUAGGAAAGCAAGCCUCUCAAAAUUCUUCGUACGUUGGUAUGCAUAUUCCACAAUACCAACAUUUCCCUGCCUCAGGGCCUC
rnacentral:lncRNA from 1 species